UACGUAGGGUGCAAGCGUUAAUCGGAAUUACUGGGCGUAAAGCGUGCGCAGGCGGUUGUGCAAGGAAGGUGUGAAAUCCCCGGGCUCAACCUGGGAACUGCAUUUGUGACUGCACGGCUGGAGUGCGGCAGAGGGGGAUGGAAUUCCGCGUGUAGCAGUGAAAUGCGUAGAUAUGCGGAGGAACACCGAUGGCGAAGGCAAUCCCCUGGGCCUGCACUGACGCUCAUGCACGAAAGCGUGGGGAGCAAACAGG
rnacentral:rRNA from 1 species